GGUGUGAUUGCAGAACGUAGUGAGGACAGGGUUUCCUUUAACACUAUGGAAGAUGAAGGAGCAGUAUACCACUUCAAUAUGCUGAUACUGAGCCAGCUAUCGACUAUCCUGAUUCUGAGUGCCGGAAGUGAACCACUAUGUCCACCGGGAAGAUACGGAGACGAUUGUGACUUAAACUGUUUCUAAACACUGCGACAUAUAUCCUGCUGAAGGCGUUGUAUACUGUGGCAAGACCAGUGGACACUGUCUUGAAGGAUGUAUUCCAGGCUGGUAUGAGUGACACUUGCAACAAACAGUGCAGCAAGAACUGUGUAAACAACACCUGUAAUCACCAAGAUGGAGCGCGUGCACAUUGGGAUGUAAAGCUGGCAAGACAGGAACCUUUGUGAAGUUACAGAGAAUGGACACGCAAGACAGGCAAAAGACAGCUCAGCACCAAACUGGGCAACAAUUGGUUCUGGUGUCACUGCUGUUGUAUUGCUAUUAUUAAUACCAAUACUAAUGGGCGUAUGUUAUAAACGGUAAGAAUGCAUAUACUAACAUAUUCCUGACUGUUUGAUUAGCAGGCAAAUGAUAGUCCUAGCCAAAAAUAGUUUAUGCUCUGAGCGCCUGGGUUCCUUUGAAGUCAAACCCUGUGUGUAGGCUGGGUGUCUAGCAUUUGGUAUAGAGACAACACAAAUCGUCAUCUGCAUCUGCAAACGUAUUGCUUUUUAUAAACACCAUGUGCCGAAAUAUGUGUCAACAAAACAUAUGUUGCAA